GAUGUUGUUUAUCAUCUUAACAACGUGUUUUAUUGUUCUUUCAUUUGUUUUUGUUCUAUUAAUAAUAUUACUUUUUCUGUUUGAUUGUUUUAUGUAAUAUUUGACUUGGCUCGGUACUUAUACAUCCCGUCAAUGUGUUUGUAUUGUCUUUCAUUUUUUGAUGGUGUGUUUUGUAUAUGCAACUUUUUGUGUUUCUUUGGUUCUUAUAACGUGACUCUGUACUUUAUAAGAUCCCGUCAGUAUGAUAUUGUUCUAUUUCACGUCAUUAUGAUAUAUUUUUAUUAUGAAUUACAAAAUGCGUUGAACCAUAAACGUUGAAAUCAUUCCAUCGCGUAGUGGAAUCGGCUAUUUGUGGAUUCUUAUAAAUUCU
rnacentral:lncRNA from 1 species